rnacentral:lncRNA from 1 species
AUAAUAAUUUGGAUUUUAUGUAAGGAUGAUGUUUUUGUUUCAAAAUUAUUUGAAUGCUUAAAAUUUGAUUUUAUUUAGACUUUUAGUUAAUAGAUUAUUGUUUUUUAUAAUGUUUGAAUUGAAAACUUUCAAUGAGAAAUUAAUGUAGUGACUUUGUUAAUUAAAUUGUCCGUUUGGAAGGUGAGAGUAUAUGUCAUUUUCUUCAAUGUAAUUAUUUUUCUUCUUCCUCCACCUUUAUUCUCCAUUAUACACCCCUUUCGUCAUCCUGCAUGUAAUAACCAUUGUCCAUUCCAUUGAGGGUUACCUUGCCA